rnacentral:ncRNA from 1 species
UAAUGUAAAUGGCAAACUUAUUGAAAGAUAAGGGCGCAAAACCAUGUAUCUAAGGGGUUAAAAAUCCUAUGAAUGACAGGUUACCAUU